CGGGACGUGGCGCAGCCUGGUAGCGCACCUGCUUUGGGAGCAGGGGGUCGGAGGUUCGAAUCCUCUCGUCCCGACCA
rnacentral:tRNA from 1 species